GCAUUGGUGGUUCAGUGGUGGAAUUCUAGCCUUCCAUGUGGGAGACCCCAGGUUCAAGUCCCAGCCAGUGCA
rnacentral:tRNA from 1 species